rnacentral:lncRNA from 1 species
GACAGUAGAGGCGCCCCAUGGGGAACAUACUGACCUGUCGUGUGCACCCUAGCGUCAGCCUCGAGUUUGACCAGCAGCAGGGGUCGGUGUGUCCCUCUGAAUCUGAGAUCUAUGAGGCAGGAGCUGAGGACAGGAUGGCAGGAGCGCCCAUGGCUGCUGCUGUACAGCCUGCUGAGGUGACUGUUGAAGUUGGUGAGGACCUCCACAUGCACCACGUUCGUGACCGGGAGAUGCCUGAAGGUAAGGAGGUGAUAGGUGCCAUCUACCCUCGGUUUGCCUCUGGCUGCUGCUGUCCCCAAGGUUCCCUUUGAGGCAUCCCCCACUUCGAGCUCCUUUCUGCUUGUAGCCAGCUUUCCCGGGGGCUGGCCAGGAACAAAAGCUGGCUCUGCCUUGAAUUCCCACCCCUUAGUCUUUCCCCACCGAGUCCAGUCAGUUUCUUUUCGCCUCCCCUCCCAAUCGCCCAGUUCUUGCUCUCUCACCUCAUUCUCCCAGGCUGGCAUGGGACCAUUUAUUUAUGGCUCUUGUCGAAUAAGCAGCAGUUGAAUAAAUGAGUUGAUAAAUUUUUAUAAAUGAUUACGUCCUUUUUCUUUUCUCCCUCUAUACAUAUAGCUUUGGAGUUUAACCUUUCUGCCAAUCCAGAGGCAAGCACAAUAUUACAGAGGAACUCUCAAACAGAUGCUUUGGAGUUUAACCCUUCUGCCAAUCCAGAGGCAAGCACAAUAUUCCAGAGGAACUCUCAAACAGAUGUUGUAGAAAUAAGAAGAAGCAACUGUACAAACCAUGUAUCUACUGAGCGUUUCAGUCAACAAUACAGCUCGUGUUCGACAAUAUUCCUUGAUGACAGCACAGCCAGCCAGCAUUAUCUUACAAUGACAAUAAUAUCUGUGACCUUGGAGAUACCUCAUCAUAUCACACAAAGAGAUGCAGAUAGAUCUUUGAG